rnacentral:rRNA from 1 species
AGUUUUAUGGAGUUUUAUAAAAUGAAACCUGCCCAAUGAAAUUUUAAUGGCCGCAGUACUUUAACUGUGCUAAGGUAGCAUAAUAAUUUGGCUUUUAAUUAAAGUCUGGUAUGAAAGGAUUAAUGGGUAAAACCUGUCUUGUUUGAUUUUAAAAAAAUUACUAAGAAGGUGAAAAUUCCUUUAGUUAGCCAAUAGACGAGAAGACCCUAGGAGCUUUAGUUUUGUUGGGGCGACAUUUAAGUAAAUUAACCUUUACAGCUGUUAUAACGAUUAUACUAAUAAUAAUUAAACUACCCUAGGGAUAACAGCAUAAUUUUUAAAAAGGUUGUGACCUCGAUGUUGG